CACAGAGCCGCCUUUCAUUACAAAGGGCCGGGAAGCGGCUCCGAGCUGCCAGCAGCACUGACACCGUGCAAGAGGGGAUUUUUCAGGCUGAUGCAGCAACAAAGGCAGUUAAAUCUAGCCAGGGGGAAUUAUUUUUGGUAAUCCAUGUGUUGCUGCUCGUUGGGCGCUGGAGCAGAAGUAAGCAGGGGGAAGCUACCUGGAGAGGAGCAGCUUCCACAAGAAGCACCUGCUGCACUGCUGGACCUGUGUGUGCUGAGGGGGUUUGGGGUGCUGGCACCCACCUGGAGUCCCUCGCUGCCUGGCAGGGCGCAGGGGUGCUGGGCAUGGAAAGCCACCCAUGACACCCACGUCCAUCCUAGGGCAGGAGGAUGCUCCCUUCACUGCCUCUGCAGGGAGUCCAGGAGGUUCAUGCACCUCAGUGGGACAUUGUGGAGACAGAUCAGGAUGAAGCCCAGACCCUGGAGCCUGUUGAAGGCCGGGAGGGUGUUUCUGAAGGGAUUUGUGUUUCUGGAGACCUGCAUGCCAGCCCCAGUGCUCCCUAGGGAAACACCCUGGGCUCCCCCCAGCCCUGCCAGGUGGAGGAUGCUCCAGUGGCUCAUCACCUCCUCCCAGUGCUUCACACCAGCAGUGGAAGGUGACAGGACCCUGGAGGCUGCAGUGAGCCGUGGCAGUGAUCAGUGACUGUGCUGCCAUGCAGGGACCCACAGCCCCCGCCAUCCCAGGCUCGCGGCCAUCACAGCGUGGCCACAACUCACCUCCCUGAUGGAGCUCAUCAUCUCAUCCUCUUCUGGUGGCAGCUCCUCACACAUCAGCUGCUGAGCCCAGGAGCCCCUGUGUGGAUCCAGCUGGGGCAAUGGUGUUGCUCCAUUCCCUGAGGAUGCCUUUGCAUCACCCCGGUGCCAUGCAGUGCUGGCUGCUCCUGUAGCUUGUGCCCACACUGUGCUCUGGUUAAUGGUGCAGCCACCACCAAGGUGCCCAGCACCCUGCCCAGACACUUGAACUCCGCCUUGGUGUGGGGUGAAGGCAGUUGAAAAUCCCUCUUCCUCCCCAUCAUCCUCCUCUUCUCCCUGCCCAGCCAGCGUCCACCACUGCAACAAGAUUAAACCAAUUGCACCAUUAUUUGUUCCAUAUUUAAUAAGGGUUUGAGGAGCAGAUCUCCCAGCAAGCCCCUGCUAUCAAUCAAACCCGCACAGAGUCCCCCUUCGUGCCUGCCUUUCCAAGAAGAAAGAAAACAAAAUUGGUCUAAUUUAUUAUUCAUUUGUUCAUUAAGUCUGUAUUAACCAGAUAUAUUAUAAAGGAAAACAGGAUUGCGCCUUUUGAUCAGUAAACCCUCUGCUCAUGAAUAUCCAUGAGGCUCCCCCCUGCCCCAGCACCUCUCCCGUGUGAUGGAGGGGGCAGUGGUGGGUGCUGGCACCGGGCUGGUCCUGGCACUGCUCAGGGCUGGGAAGCUGCUCUCAGCUCUCAGCUCUGUCUGCUUGCAGAGCUCUGGGGAUCAGCUGUGCCAUCCCACGGCACUCCAGAGCUCGCCACUGACGAGUGCCCACAGCUGGCAGGGAGAGGCCAAGCCCUGCUGGGCGCAGGAGGCCGUGGGGACGUGCUGGGGGGCACUGGGGUGAUGGGCUCCCCUCCCUCGCUGCCUGGGGCUGAGCAGGAAGCCGAGCAGGUGGUGUUUCCUCGGCGUGAACAAGCAGCAUAUGUGCCUGGAUCCCCGGCGCGUGGCGGCGGCGCCGAUGCCGCGACUCCCCCUGCGCUGGGGGAGGCACACGGGACCCCCAGUGCUAGGGAUGGCCUGCAGGACCAGCACAGACUGCAGCAGCACCUAUCCCUGCUCCCUGGGAUCCUCCCUGUGCCUCCUGGGCCAUCCCAGGGAGGAUGGGAACGCCAGGAGAUGUUGCAGGGACUGGCUGGCACCAGGUCAUCAGCUCAUGGUGGCAUUCCCCCAGAGCCAGCAGCAGCGUGCGGAGAGCCGUGUCCCAGCCCAGCAGGACGGCGGAUCCCAGCCCUGCCCCGGAGCUGUUGCACCCCGCAGCAGCAGUGGGCGUACACGCAGAAAUGCCACAUCCUCAUGGAUGUCCAUGCACCCAUGCA